rnacentral:rRNA from 1 species
AGUGAACGCUGGCGGUAGGCCUAACACAUGCAAGCCGAACGGCAGCACAGUAAGAGCUUGCUCUUACGGGUGGCGAGUGGCAGACGGGUGAGGAAUACAUCGGAAUCUACUUUUUCGUGGGGGAUAACGUAGGGAAACUUACGCUAAUACCGCAUACGACCUACGGGUGAAAGCAGGGGAUCUUCGGACCUUGCGCGAUUGAAUGAGCCGAUGUCGGAUUAGCUAGUUGGCGGGGUAAAGGCCCACCAAGGCGACGAUCCGUAGCUGGUCUGAGAGGAUGAUCAGCCACACUGGAACUGAGACACGGUCCAGACUCCUACGGGAGGCAGCAGUGGGGAAUAUUGGACAAUGGGCGCAAGCCUGAUCCAGCCAUACCGCGUGGGUGAAGAAGGCCUUCGGGUUGUAAAGCCCUUUUGUUGGGAAAGAAAAGCAGCAGGUUAAUACCCCGCUGUUCUGACGGUACCCAAAGAAUAAGCACCGGCUAACUUCGUG